rnacentral:siRNA from 1 species
GGCCACAUGUGAAGUUGAUAUA